GCCAACGUGGCACAGUGGUUUGAGUGUUGGACUACAACUCUGGAGACCAGGGUUCGAAUCCCCACUCAGCCA